AUCAUGACCACCAUAACCAUCAGAACCCUUGGCGCAGAAAUAGGUGGCGGAAUCCUCGUCCCUGAGGCUGUUCAUGGUCAGCGUCAGCGAGCUCUGCCCGUUGUCCCUGGAGAUCGUGAACCGGCCCUUGACCGACGACGCGUAGUAGGUGCUGCUGCCAUCGCUGUUGAUACUCGCGAGCCAUUCCAGCCCCUGCCCGGGUUUCUGGCGGAUCCAGCUCAU